AAUUUUGCAACGAUUAUUUGAUAAGUUAUUCACAAAACCCUUAGUUUUUAGCACUUAGAAGUUUUUAAGUGGCACAUUUCUCUAACCAAUGAGGAUGGAGUAUCACUCUCCCACUGAUCACCCUACCGAAGGCAUGUGAGCCGUCCACGUCCUACAGAUCCAACGUCUCCUCCCUCUCCUACCUAAACCUAACGCACGAAACACCCGCCUCCCUACGUACCGCCGUCCUCUCUCUCCCUCUCCCAGAUCCAGAUCGAGGCCCUCGCGUCUCUCCUCUCCCUCCAUCUCCGCUGCAGCCGGCUCCCGCCCAGUCCUCGUCCUCCUCUAUCUCCACAUCCGCUCAGUCCUCGUCCUCCGCUGCGGCCCGCAUGCUGGAGGAAGCUGGCGGCUAGGCCGGCCACAGAGCAGAGGAAGGCUGCGGCACACACACAGGGCAGGGACCACACGCGAUCGGUCAACGUCACCAGCGGGAGGUUUCGUCCUCGGGCUCGACAUGCCGCCUCCUCCCCGCGCGCGUGCACUCCACCCCCACUACCCCCUCCUCUGCCUCCGCCUGCCCGGUCCGGCCCGGCGACGACGACUCCCCCGCGCGGUGCGUACAUCCUUCUCCCUCGCCGAUUCCGUGGCUCCGAUCCUCUCCGCCCCGGAGGUCGGUUCCGUGCUGCUCUGGUGCAUGGAUCUGGUUCGGUAGGAGUUUGAUCGAUGUGGUUGACUGCCUUUUUCCGUCCAGCAUUGGAUCUGGGUCGCCGCCCCAGUGGGUCGGGUUUCGGUUUCAGAUGCCGCACCAAAUCGGUAGUGAGCCGUCCUUGGAGCAAACACAGCUGAUGAGUCGCUGGAGCUGGCUGUCCGCGUCGAUCCUUAUCUCCUCUGCUGUCGCACUUCCUUACCGUCCGUUGUGUAGCAAAAUCCCUUCAACUUUCCUGAAACAACACAACCUUCCCAGUCACGGGGAUGCGAUACUGGAUUAUGACAGGAGGCGGGGGUUAUAUUUCUCUGAAUUAUUACUGAGCUUUCCAAAUCGCACCUGACUUUGCCUUAGAUAUGCUGAAUGUUAGCACCGUGUUUAGGUCAUAACUAGCACAGUUUGACAGCCACAUCACUGCAAUGGCUGCUGUUUCAGUAGGUGUUUUGCUCUCCUUCAUUGCUUGCUUGACCUAUCUGGUAGGGCUCCUUUUGGCUGGUGCAAGUUGUUAGGAUCCUGUCUAGGUAGGAGGGAGUUAGCCAUCCACAUCUAUAUAUGUUCUGGUGGGAACAUGUACUAUUGUGGGCGUGAACCUGGUUAUGACCUCAACUACUGCCAUGUGCUCGGCCAUUAGAUUAUAUAGGUGCAUCUUCCUAUUUUUUAGAAUCUUCCCUUGUACAAUAGCUGGGAAUCUCGGAGUCUUGCUUUGGAAGGUUUGUCUAAUCCAAAUUUUUUGUUAGGUGUAUGAUAUUGAAUGUAUGAUCGUAAUUGUGCUUAAAUCUUGCUAAGCCUGCUAGGCUGUACAGUAUCUUCUGAUGAUACUAUCAGCAAUAGAUUAUUGUGCAAACACCAAACAUUAGCAUUGGUUUACAUUAAAAUCACUUUUCGUUGUGUCAAUUAACUUAUUAUAUGCUUGCUUUCCCCCCAUAUGUCAGGCUCAAGCGAUGAAGCGACAAUCCCUUCUACGUGAGGAAACGAUUUUACAGUACAAGUUGGGCAAUUUCGAGGUAAUGACCUCAUUUAACCCUGACAUUCUAAUUAGAUAAAAAUAUCAUACUACUUAUGCCGUGCUUGUUUUUUAUCACGUCGUAGCUGCAAUCCAGAAAAGGUUGGAUCCUGAUGCUCCCCCGCAAUAGGCAUCUUGUGGACAUUCCAUUUUCUCUGAAGUUAAUUCUCAUAGAUCUUCAUGAGCAACAUACUGUGAUGUACCGCAGUUUAUUUGCACAAAAAGUAUACUGAGCUGAAAAUGCUGGUACUGUACCUGUACUGUAUAAUUUUGAAAAUUUUGCUCGUUAGUUUCAAGUUGUGCUGUAUGCAUCAGUUUGGUACGUUGAGAUGUAAGUUUUUUCAGAGUUUUUCUAUUGUUGUUCCAUAGGCAUCUCAUUGUUUGUCGCUUGCUGUGUCAACUCGUGUGAAUGGUUCGUGAAUUGGGGCUUUCGAUGAUCCUGAUGUGAUCGGAGUAGGAUUUACUCGCUGCUCACAGUUACUACUUGUAUUCACUGUUUUCUAUGCCUCAUUUUGCUUGUUUUACUCUCAUUUACAAAAACAAACUGCCUACAAGUUAGUGUGCUGUUAGAUUUUCUUUUAUUUUGUUCUUAACCAUUUUGUCUUAUAACUUGUAGAUGUUGGCCUUCGUUCAUGUUUCGUCGCAAGGUCCAGGACGAAGAAGUCAGGAGAAGCACAGAGUUCUUGAUCAUUGGAGCUAGUUAUUGUUUUGAUUUUUUAGUUGUGUUACCUGAUGUGAACUAGUUUUGAUUGUAAACCUGAUGCGAACCAUGUUUGAUUGAAAUUUUCCAAGUUUGGAUAUGUUGGAUUGUAUUCAUGAUGUGACAGAGGUUCAAGUUAUAAUGGUUGUUUGACAUAUUUUGUAAUUUCUCAUGUGUGGGACCAAUUUUGAGAUCAACAUGACAUGUGGGACCAGUACAAAAACAAAAUGGUCAAAAAAGAAAAUCAAUAGGGAGUAGAAGGCCACAACCCAAAAUAAAAAAAGGCUAAAAUGUUGGGGAUUAUUGGGCUAGGCCCAUGCAGCUAAGCAAAAUAAAGAGAAAAAAACAUUAAAUGGGCUGGAUUAAUGGGGUUGGCUCAUUUAAAACAUCGAAUUGGACCGGGCUAAUUCUGU
rnacentral:lncRNA from 1 species